rnacentral:rRNA from 1 species
AGUGAACGCUGGCGGUAUGCCUAACACAUGCAAGUCGAACGGCAGCACAGUAAGAGCUUGCUCUUACGGGUGGCGAGUGGCGGACGGGUGAGGAAUACAUCGCAAUCUACUUUUUCGUGGGGGAUAACGUAGGGAAACUUACGCUAAUACCGCAUACGACCUACGGGUGAAAGCAGGGGAUCUUCGGACCUUGCGCGAUUGAAUGAGCCGAUGUCGGAUUAGCUAGUUGGCGGGGUAAAGGCCCACCAAGGCGACGAGCCGUAGCUGGUCUGAGAGGAUGAUCAGCCACACUGGAACGGAGACACGGUCCAGACUACUACGGGAGGCAGCAGUGGGGAAUAUUGGACAAUGGGCGCAAGCCUGAUCCAGCCAUACCGCGUGGGUGAAGAAGGCCUUCGGGUUGUAAAGCCCUUUUGUUGGGAAAGAAAAGCAGCAGGUUAAUACCCAGCUGUUCUGACGGUACCCAAAGAAUAAGCACCGGCUAACUUCGUG